AUGAACGCUAGCUACAGGCUUAACACAUGCAAGUCGAGGGGCAGCAUUUUGGUUGCUUGCAACCAAUGAUGGCGACCGGCGCACGGGUGAGUAACGCGUAUCCAACCUUCCCCUUACUCAGGAAUAGCCCGUUGAAAGACGGAUUAAUGCCUGAUGUUCUCAUGUUGCCGCAUGGCGAUAUGAGCAAAGAUUCAUCGGUAAGGGAUGGGGAUGCGUAUGAUUAGCUUGUUGGCGGGGUAACGGCCCACCAAGGCAACGAUCAUUAGGGGUUCUGAGAGGAAGGUCCCCCACACUGGAACUGAGACACGGUCCAGACUCCUACGGGAGGCAGCAGUGAGGAAUAUUGGUCAAUGGAGGCAACUCUGAACCAGCCAAGUAGCGUGCAGGACGACGGCCCUAUGGGUUGUAAACUGCUUUUAUGCGGGGAUAAAUGAACCUACGUGUAGGUUUUUGCAGGUACCGCAUGAAUAAGGACCGGCUAAUUCCGUG
rnacentral:rRNA from 1 species